rnacentral:lncRNA from 12 species
GUUUCCACCAGCAUCACUUCGUCAUCAUUUUCAUCAGCCCUGUGAAGUCCUGUAUUUUUGCAGUCAUGUUAAUGGCAUCCAAGGUAAAAACCAAUGACAGCAUAGAGGGCAUGUAUUAGGUGGGAAGAAAUGUUUAAAUGAGGGCUGGUAUGAACAUUGUCAGUUUAUUGGUGAAUAUCAUAAUGUCUAUAUUCCUGUAACCUUGGAUUGUUUGGGAAUUAGAUCCUAAAUAUUCAGAAGAUAGGAACCUCUAUGUUUAUAUUAGUAUUUUCUUUAUUUUCCCAACAUUUGUUAGAGAGAGAGAGAGAGAGAGAGAGAGAGAGGAGAGGGGUAGAAGGAGGAGAGAGAAUCUCAAGCAGAUUCCACACUGAGUCCAGAGCCCAACAUGGGGCUCAAUCUCAUGACCCAAAGACCAUGACCUGAGCCAAGAUCAAGAGUUGGAUGCUUAAUCAAGUCAGCCACCCAGACACCUCUGUAUUGCUAUAUUCAAUGACUAGGCUUUUAUGAACUAAUUUGAAGUCUUUUACCUAUCUUAAUUACUUGAAUAUAUGACUUGAGAUAAUUAUAGUUGUAUAGUAGAAAUUUUCCAAACACAAUGGUGAUAAGCAGUGCUGCGAAGGUUAAUAGCAAAGCUCUGACAAGCUUAGCCUGUGCAGCACUGGCACAGCCUUAUGAAAACAAUUAUGCAAAAAUAAUAAUCCUGUUGCAACUUCAAAUCCAGGUGCAUAAAAAUAUUAAUUGAUUUUUUUUCUUUCAGUAGUGCUAAGUUGCCAGUGGAAACUGCCCAUGGGCCACAUGAGAGACCACGGAUCCUGUAAUGCUGGGAGGCAUAAAGCUGGCACAGAAGUGCUGCAGAGAGGCUGUCACCAGUUAGAGGGAAGGAGCCAGAGAAGCAAGAGGUGUGGCAACAGCCAAGGGUCUUCAAAGGUAGAUGGACUGUGCACUCCCUUCCUGAAUGGGAGACCAGCACAGAGACCUUGGGGGCACGCCCUGCCCAGCCCUGCCCAGCCUCGCCCAGGCUCCAGCCGGAGGCUCCGCCCCAGGCCAUGGCCUUCCACUUGCUCACGUGACCAUGCCACAGGCAUGCAGAGAGGCAGGCUGAGCUCUGCCAGGCCAGCAGGGUCCUUGCCAGGCCUGGUGGACUUCGAGGACAAGGAGCAGGUGAAGGCCUUUCUGGAGAACGUCGUGGAGUGCAAGUACCAGUGCUACUGUGAGAAGGACCCGGAUGAUUCAUGA